UACAGAGGUCUUGAGCGUUGUUCGGAUUCAUUGGGCGUAAAGGGCGCGUAGGCGGCGGGGUAAGUCUGGUGUGAAAUCUAGGAGCUCAACUCCUAAACUGCACUGGAUACUGCUCUGCUAGAGGACUGGAGAGGAGACUGGAAUUCACGGUGUAGCAGUGAAAUGCGUAGAUAUCGUGAGGAAGACCAGUGGCGAAGGCGGGUCUCUGGACAGUUCCUGACGCUGAGGCGCGAAGCCAGGGGAGACAAACGGG
rnacentral:rRNA from 1 species